rnacentral:misc_RNA from 1 species
AUUCGGACUUGUAUCUCUGUAACUCGAGGUUUCUCUAACUCUGGAACCAUUGUCGAGAGGAAGGAGAUGAGACGCCAAGGGAUGGAGAGGGUGAGAGCAUAAAAGAAGAAUCAAUAGGUGGCAUUUAUUUGUACACAAUGAGGGAAUAUUUGAAAGGCAAAAGGUGUAGGGCAUGGAAGGAAUCUCUUUUUCCCUUCUGAAAGAGAACGGAGGAUGUUUGAUAUGAUGUUGCUGUUUUGAUUAAACUUCAAGGAGUAGGUGGUGGGUUCAAGAAAAGGGUCGGUUUUCUUUCAAGAACCUUUUGGAUUGAAAAUGGUGAGCCAAAGAGAAUUUGCUUUAGGAUGGAUGUCCAUCUCUGCAAUUGGGGAGGUGUGUGUG